rnacentral:rRNA from 1 species
AUACGGAGGAUCCGAGCGUUAUCCGGAUUUAUUGGGUUUAAAGGGUGCGCAGGCGGCCAUUUAAGUCAGCGGUUAAAUCGUGGGGCUCAACCCCAUUCUGCCGUUGAUACUGGGUGGCUUGAUUGCGGUCGAGGUUGGCGGAAUUCGUUGUGUAGCGGUGAAAUGCAUAUAUAUGACGAAGAACACCGAUUGCGUAGGCAUCUGACCAGACCGCAAAUGACGCUCAUGCACGAAAGUGCGGGGAUCGAACAGGAUUAGAUUCCCUGGUAGUCCGCACAGUAAACGAUGAAUACUUGUUUUCGGCGAUAUAAUGUCGGAGGCAAAGCGAAAGCGAUAAGUAUUCCACCUGGGGAGUACGCCGGCAACGGUGAAACUCAAAUGAAUUGACGGGG